rnacentral:tRNA from 1 species
GGGCGAGUGGCGGAACUGGUAUACGCGCACGGCUUAGAACCGUGUCCUUUAUGGUUGAGGGUUCGAGUCCCUCCUCGCCCACCA